UGAGCGCUCUGUGUAGUUGCAUACAGAGAGACCGUAACAUGAGGCUGUGGCUGAGUGCAGCAAUUUAUAUCUGUGUAACAGGUCUUUCCAGGGCAGACAGUGUCAACCAAGCAACCUCCUCUAAGACUGCUGAAGAUGGGGAUGAUAUAACAUUGAACUGUACGUAUGAGACAGCUAGCAGCAUCCCAUAUCUCCAUUGGUACAUUCAACAACCAGGAGAGAGACCUCGGUUUAUAUUACUGAGAGAUCAGUUCAGCAAGGUAGAGACUGAACCUGGUACCCGUUAUGCCUCCAAACUGGAUAAAGAGACCAAAUCUACCUACCUGAAGAUUUCUGAUGUCACAGUGUCUGACUCUGGGGUGUAUUAUUGUGCUCUGAGGCCCACAGUGUCUGUGUCUGCAGACUGUGCUGUUCAAUAAGCUCUGACUCUGUCCAAGGUUCUGAUACAAGGCUGUAUA